GGAAACUUAAUUUCUGGGUUUUCGUGUCUAACGUUUGACCGUCUGUCUUAUUUAAAAAAAUUAUGAAAAAAUUUAAAGAGAUAAGUCAUGCACAAAAUAUAUUUAUGGUUUAUCAUCUAACAGUAAUGAAAAUACUAAUCACAAAAAAAUUUCAUAUAAGACGGACGGGCAAACGCUAGACACAAAAACCUAAAAAUUGAGUUUUU
rfam:Oryza glaberrima chromosome 3 Oglab03_0146_21, whole genome shotgun sequence.